rnacentral:lncRNA from 1 species
ACACCCUAGUUUAAGGAAAGGAAAAGAAAACUCUACUGUCUAUGCCAAGAGGUCGAAAGGCCAUGAGAUAAAUAAAAUUAGAAUGAUAUAAUUAAAUAAGAUAACACUGUAUUAAAGUAUAAUAAAUAAGCUCAAAAAUACGAAAAAUAUAAUUAAUAACUGUAAACUGUAAAAAAUAAAAGUUCAAUCAUUAAGUUCAUCUAAAAAACAAAAACCAUUGUGCUAACAAAGACUGAGACGCCAUCAAAAUCAUCAGAGAAAGGCUAGAUUCAAAUACUCUGUUAUAUAUACAAGCUCCCUUUGCUCCAGCCAAGAAGAUAAUCGCAUAUAAGAUCAAUUUUACUCACUAACCAUGCCAACAAUAGAAUUUCUUGCUGAGAAGGGGAAAAAUAAAUAAAUUAAUUUUCUGAGCAGAAGAUUAAUAUAAUAUUUUUCUUAAAAUACUUUAUGAAAUCUUAAACAUGGAGAUCUUACCUUCAAAAUCUGUAGAAAGAAUUUAGAUAUUGACAUUAUGUACAAGUACAGCAAAACCAACCCUAUUGUUGAAGCCUCAGCGGACUCCACAAUACGAUAUACGGACGUUUAGGGACCCAAUACAGAAAUCCAACAACAGGUCCUGUUUUGAGGAAGAACUGCAAAUCAACAAACUACAAGUUUCAAUCACAUACAUUUGCACGACAAUGGUAAGGAUGAUUUCAAACCGG